GAUGAACGCUGGCGGCGUGCUUAACACAUGCAAGUCGAACGGGAAAUAUUUCAUUGAGACUUCGGUGGAUUUGAUCUAUUUCUAGUGGCGGACGGGUGAGUAACGCGUGGGUAACCUGCCUUAUACAGGGGGAUAACAGUCAGAAAUGGCUGCUAAUACCGCAUAAGCGCACAGAGCUGCAUGGCUCAGUGUGAAAAACUCCGGUGGUAUAAGAUGGACCCGCGUUGGAUUAGCUGGUUGGUGGGGUAACGGCCCACCAAGGCGACGAUCCAUAGCCGGCCUGAGAGGGUGAACGGCCACAUUGGGACUGAGACACGGCCCAGACUCCUACGGGAGGCAGCAGUGGGGAAUAUUGCACAAUGGGGGAAACCCUGAUGCAGCGACGCCGCGUGAAGGAAGAAGUAUCUCGGUAUGUAAACUUCUAUCAGCAGGGAAGAUAGUGACGGUACCUGACUAAGAAGCCCCGGCUAACUACGUGCCAGCAGCCGCGGUAAUACGUAGGGGGCAAGCGUUAUCCGGAUUUACUGGGUGUAAAGGGAGCGUAGACGGUGUGGCAAGUCUGAUGUGAAAGGCAUGGGCUCAACCCGUGGACUGCAUUGGAAACUGUCAUACUUGAGUGCCGGAGGGGUAAGCGGAAUUCCUAGUGUAGCGGUGAAAUGCGUAGAUAUUAGGAGGAACACCAGUGGCGAAGGCGGCUUACUGGACGGUAACUGACGUUGAGGCUCGAAAGCGUGGGGAGCAAACAGG
rnacentral:rRNA from 1 species